ensembl:lncRNA
CCACCCCUUGUCAUUGUGAUGAUAAUGAAGGCGGAGCGUGUCAUCACUCCCUCCUUUGUUGAUAUUAUUCAUGACAUUUUCUGAGAGUUACACCUUUUUCCGUCUAUAAAUGAUUUCCCACAUUCCCUCCAGAUCUGUCUCUGUUGACUUUUAUCACAAUAUAGAGACAAUAUUGAAAGCCAUAUGCGAAAAUCAGUUAACGCACAAUUCAGAAUUGAGGUCUGGGAAAAAAAUAGUUAUUUUAAAGUUUACCCAACCCCCUCAACCAGGCUGGAGUUGUGAGUGGUUUGCUCUGGGGGAAGCUCAGUCAUGAGUGAAUGACAAGCCCUGGACAGCUCCAUUAGGAAAACAGAUGGUAGGGGAGUGGAAAAAAGGCUACGUAACAAAUGUAAUAUUGUCUGAAUGCAUGAGGCUGCAGGACCUGCACACAGCUUGAGUGCUUGGCUAGAACUCAAACCAUCCGUUUUGGCCAGCAAGCUGCCGGCGGACGGUCGGUAACUAGCCGAGGCGCAGGUUGACUCUCACGGUCAGUAGCCGACUUCUCCACGUCACGCAUCAGGUAGUUAUCUCCACAGCGCUCGUGAAGUGAGACCGUGCCUGGCCAGCUGUCUUUGAGGCCACACAAAAGAGGAGGAACGCCAGUGAGAGGAGAAAGAUUCCUUCUGGCACUGCCUUCAUUUAAAGAGAGAUGACAGCUGAUGGAGCAACAUCUCACAUUGGAAAGAGACUCUUGUUCACAAACACACCAGAGUGUUAAUGAGUUCCUGAAAUCACUACCUAAGACCCAAGGCUGACAAGUACAAUGAUGGAAACCAGAUAUUGGUACUUUGGCAUAUCUGAGAACAGUUGGAGGCUGUUAGGAUCUUUUUUUGAAACUCCCAGGAGUCAUGUGAGAUUACAAGUUUGUCUUUACAGAUUACAGAUUGUAUUUUUCUCAGGAGAAAUAUCUGAGGAGCAGGAAACAGGGGAAAUUUGGUCCUCGUUUACGCAACUUCAUGUCAUUCUAAACCUGUUUGACGUCCUUUCUGUAGAACACAAAAUACAUUUUUUUUUUUUUUUUUUUUUUUUUUUUUUUUUUUUUCAUUUUCUUGAAGAAGUUGAAGCGGAGUAAAUGAUGACUGAAUUUUCUUUUCUUUUUCUGCCCAAUUUUAUAUGUUCUGAACAAAACAGUGUUUCAGUGAGAUCCAGAGAUCAUGCCUCAGACCAGACUGUCAGAAAGAGAAAAAAGAAAAUCUCCUACUCCUUUCAUUCACGCUGGAGAACAAAUCACUUCCUAUUUCUGAUUCUGCCAAAGUGCUUGGUCCAAAACCAGCUUCUGAUAAAUGAACUUGAUAUUCUGGUCUUCAAAUGUAAUCUUUUUUUAUGGGCUUCUUUUAAACCCUAGAAUUUAAAUGAUUUCAGUGGCAUUAAAAUGCUAUAACUUAAAUAAUAGGUUUGCACCCACAACCUCGAAAUGAAACUUUCUUCGCAAAACAAGUUAUCAAUAAGCAGUUGAACAAAAGUACAUGUGCAUGCAUUCAACCUCUACAAACACUGACAAAAUGUCUCUGACUUCUUCCCAAAAAAAUAUGUUUCAGUGAAGUAAUUAUAUGUUUUGCAUUGGAGUACUUCCAAUGAUAACUCAUGACCUCUCUGAAAUAUGUUUCUCUGAGGUAACAUUGCACUCAAGGUCUCCAACAUAAACUAUUAAUCGCUAAACUCUGUAAUCGAGUUGCAUUGCUUGUUAUUUACUGCACGUAAGUCUAAGGUCUAAAGUGAACUAAAAGCUGCACUGUCAAAGCCACCAGAUAUCACUGCAGAUUUUAUUCAGGGAGCCAUGUCAGUCUUUACUGCAACUUUCAAUCAAUUUAAUGUGCCUUUGCUGUAAGAACUGCAAUUUAUUUCACAAAAAAAAAAAAAAAAAAAAAAAUAAAAAAAAAAAAAAAAAAAAAAAAAAAAAAAAA